GUACUAGCUAUGGCGGUACAUAUUCUAAAAUUGGAAUGAUACAAAGAUUAGCAUGGCUCCUGCACAAGGAUGACCUGCAAAUUCAUGAAGCGUUCCAUAUUUUU
rnacentral:snRNA from 1 species